CAGCCUUAACGAUGGAUGUCUUGGUUCCUACAGCGAUGAAGGCCGUAGCAAAAUACGAUAGGCAAUGAAACUUGCAUUCUUGCUUGUAUCUCUGCAAAUCAUCAUCAGAAUGCUGAAUGUAAACUACACUCCAAAGAGGCCUUUUUACCCAAAAAAGGGUCC
rnacentral:rRNA from 1 species